rnacentral:rRNA from 1 species
AGAACGAACGCUGGCGGCAGGCCUAACACAUGCAAGUCGAGCGCCCAGCAAUGGGAGCGGCGGACGGGUGAGUAACACGUGGGAAUAUGCCUUUCGGUUCGGCACAACUCAGGGAAACUUGAGCUAAUUCCGGAUACGCCCUUACGGGGAAAGAUUUAUCGCCGAAAGAUUAGCCCGCGUUGGAUUAGCUAGUUGGUGAGGUAACGGCCCACCAAGGCGACGAUCCAUAGCUGGUUUGAGAGAACGACCAGCCACACUGGGACUGAGACACGGCCCAGACUCCUACGGGAGGCAGCAGUGGGGAAUCUUGGACAAUGGGGGAAACCCUGAUCCAGCCAUGCCGCGUGAGUGAUGAAGGCCCUAGGGUUGUAAAGCUCUUUUGUGCGGGAAGAUAAUGACGGUACCGGUAGAAGAAGCACCGGCUAACUCUGUGCCAGCAGCCGC